GGAAGGAAGGAUCAGAAGUCAUCCAAGAAGUGCUUGCCAGUGAUAACUCGCCCUGUGGAUUGCAACAAGCACUGUGGAGGAGAAGGCAAAGAGAAUGGCCAUAGCCCUAGCCAUAGCCAUGCACCAAAGCCAACUCCAUCUCCUAAACCUGAGACACCAAAGCUUGUACACUCUUCACCACCUCCUCCAGUUCACUCUCCUCCACCUCCCGUUUCCUCACCACCUCCACCGGUACACUCCCCAACACCUCCUCUCGUCUCCUCUCCACCUCCACCGGUACACUCCCCACCACCUCCUCCCGUCUCCUCUCCACCUCCACCGGUACACUCCCCACCACCUCCUCCCGUUUCCUCUCCACCUCCACCGGUACACUCCCCUCCACCUCCUCCUGUUCACUCACCACCACCUCCCGUUUUCUCACCACCUCCUCCUCCCGUCUCCUCUCCACCUCCAC
rnacentral:lncRNA from 1 species